CCUACGGGAGGCUGCAGUGGGGAAUAUUGGGCAAUGGAGGAAACUCUGACCCAGCAACGCCGCGUGAAGGAUGAAGGUUUUCGGAUUGUAAACUUCUGUCGCGAGGGAUGAAGAAUGACGGUACCUCGUAAGAAAGCCCCGGCAAACUACGUGCCAGCAGCCGCGGUAAUACGUAGGGGGCGAGCGUUGUCCGGAAUGACUGGGCGUAAAGGGAGUGUAGGCGGCAUAUUAAGUUAUGUGUGAAAGCCCGCGGCUCAACCGCGGAAUUGCACAUAAAACUGGUAAGCUGGAGUGCAGGAGAGGUAAGCGGAAUUCCCAGUGUAGCGGUGAAAUGCGUAGAUAUUGGGAGGAACACCAGUGGCGAAGGCGGCCUGCUGGACAUUAACUGACGCUGAGGCGCGAAAGCGUGGGUAUCGAACAGGAUUAGAUACCCGUGUAGUC
rnacentral:rRNA from 1 species